UGCGAUAAGUAAUGUGAAUUGCAGAAUUCAGUGAAUCAUCGAAUCUUUGAACGCACAUUGCGCCCGCCAGCACUCUGGCGGGCAUGUCUGUUCGAGCGUCAUUUCAACCCUCAGAACCCCUUGCGGGAUCUGGCGUUGGGGAUUGGCAUCCAGCCAGCCCCGAAAUCUAGUGGCGGUCCCUCCGCGACCUCCCCUGUGCAGUAGCGAUACCUCGCAGCGGGACAGCGGUCUGACCACGCCGUAAAACCCCCAACUUCUCAAGGUUGACCUCGAAUCAGGUAGGAAUACCCGCUGAACUUAAGC
rnacentral:misc_RNA from 1 species